rnacentral:rRNA from 1 species
UACAGAGGUCCCAAGCGUUGCUCGGAAUCACUGGGCGUAAAGGGUGCGUAGGCGGGUCUUUAAGUCAGGGGUGAAAUCCUGGAGCUCAACUCCAGAACUGCCUUUGAUACUGAAGAUCUUGAGUUCGGGAGAGGUGAGUGGAACUGCGAGUGUAGAGGUGAAAUUCGUAGAUAUUCGCAAGAACACCAGUGGCGAAGGCGGCUCACUGGCCCGAUACUGACGCUGAGGCACGAAAGCGUGGGGAGCGAACAGG